UACGAAGGGGGCUAGCGUUGUUCGGAAUUACUGGGCGUAAAGCGCGCGCAGGCGGUUUCUCAAGUCAGUGGUGAAAGCCCGGAGCUCAACUCCGGAACUGCCAUUGAAACUGUGAGACUUGAGGACGAGAGAGGUGAGUGGAAUUCCCAGUGUAGAGGUGAAAUUCGUAGAUAUUGGGAAGAACACCGGUGGCGAAGGCGGCUCACUGGCUCGUUUCUGACGCUCAGGCGCGACAGCGUGGGGAUCGAAACAAGG
rnacentral:rRNA from 1 species